GUGGAAGCCUUGUGAGGGGUGGAGCUGACCGGUACUAAUAGGCCGAGGGCUUGUCCA
rnacentral:rRNA from 1 species